CCUACGGGAGGCAGCAGUGGGGAAUAUUGGACAAUGGGGGAAACCCUGAUGCAGCCAUGCCGCGUGUGUGAAGAAGGCCUUCGGGUUGUAAAGCACUUUCAGUGGUGAGGAAGGCCAUACACCUAAUACGUGUGUGGAUUGACGUUAGCCACAGAAGAAGCACCGGCUAACUCCGUGCCAGCAGCCGCGGUAAU
rnacentral:rRNA from 1 species